rnacentral:rRNA from 1 species
UACAGAGGGUGCGAGCGUUAAUCGGAAUCACUGGGCUUAAAGCGCGUGUAGGUGGGUCGUUAAGUGUCCGCGUGAAAUCCCACGGCUCAACCGUGGAACUGCCGGGCAUACUGGCGAUCUUGAGGCAUUCAGGGGCGAGCGGAACAAAUGGUGGAGCGGUGAAAUGCGUAGAUAUCAUUUGGAACGCCAAUGGUGAAAACAGCUCGCUGGGAAUGAUCUGACACUGAGACGCGAAAGCCAGGGGAGCGAACGGG